UGCGUCCUCAUGCAUACGAGUCAGAUUCAUUUCCACUGAGCCACGACAGGAACUCUCUAAAUAUAUUUGUUAAUAAACCAAUGGUUCGNGCCAGGGAUCGAACUUGCGUCCUCAUGCAUACGAGUCAGAUUCAUUUCCACUGAGCCACGGCAGGAACUCCCUAAAUAUAUUUGUUAAUAAACCAGUGGUUCUCCAGACUUUUCAGCAUACUGAGUGCUAAAGCAAACAAGAGAUUCUUCUCAAAAUAUGUUGGUGGCUUGAGCGAUGUCAUUACCAAGUGGUGAUCUAUACAGAAGGAUAUUGUUUUUCAAAACCAGAGGUAAUCGUCAAGUUGGAGCAAGGAAAAGAUCCAUUGUUUUUUGAGGAAGAGUUUUAAGCAAGAGCCAUGCAGGUGAGUUUAUUACUGUAGACAGGUCUGUAGGAGAAAUUAGAUCUAAAGUGGUCAGUUAGAGGUAGAUGCCAUGAAAUAGUUUUAACACUCUCCUUUUUUUUUUUUUUUU
rnacentral:lncRNA from 1 species